GACGAACGCUGGCGGCGUGCUUAACACAUGCAAGUCGAACGGAAAGGCCCCUUUGGGGGUACUCGAGUGGCGAACGGGUGCGUAACACGUGAGUAACCUGCCCUUGACUUCGGGAUAACUUCAGGAAACUGGGGCUAAUACCGGAUAGGAAUCCUUGCUGCAUGGUGGGGGUUGGAAAGCUUCGGCGGUUUUGGAUGUACUCGCGGCUUAUCAGCUUGUUGGUGGGGUAGUGGCUUACCAAGGCUUUGACGGGUAGCCGGCCUGAGAGGGCGACCGGCAACAUUGGGACUGAGAUACGGCCCAGACUCCUGCGGGAGGCAGCAGUGGGGAAUAUUGCACAAUGGGCGGAAGCCUGAUGCAGCAACGCCGCGUGCGGGAUGACGGCCUUCGGGUUGUAAACCGCGUUCAGCAGGGGCGAAGCUUGUGGUGACGGUACCUUCAGAAGAAGCACCGGCUAACUACGUG
rnacentral:rRNA from 1 species